GUGUGCAGAGGUCCACGCGCUUGGUGCCUUGACCUCUGCUACGGGUGCUGCCUUCUUCCAUCCAGGCUGCUCCCAUUACCCCUUCAUUUUCGCCCCCCAAGGGCUCUUGCACCUACCCUGAGGAGAUAAUAAGCAGCCAGAGCAGGGCCCAGAGGGCGGCUGCCCGGGCUGGGAGGAGCCUCCAAGGUCCCCGUGCCUGGAGCCAACUGUACCGCUUGCGGAGAACGAAGAGCUGCAGAACUGCGUCCCCUCGGAGCAGAUACUGUCCUCUGCGCGGGAGGAUGACUUACCCACAGGGGCUGGUGCUUGGCAGCUCCGAGGUUCUCCCUGCAGGGGCAGCCUGGGAUUCCAGAGGGUUCCAGAGGAUCCCAAGGACCUGCGUGCCCGCGUCUCCCGCCGGGUGCGCGCACUGAGCUUUGCCCAGCGUUCUUGGGCUGCCUUCUCCCCUUCUGCACGGCUGUGGGUCCCAGCAAGACCCAGCAGUAAAAGAGAAAGGGCGGCGGGAGGAUGAGCCCUGCCCAGCUCGGCAGGAGGCUGCGGGCGCACCACGAGGAAGCCCAGUGCCGGGGCGCUUCUUCCAGCCCGGGACCCCCGUUCCCGCUCUCCGCAGGCGGAGAUGGCCCAAGGCUCGGCCCCAAACCCUCGAUUUCCUAUGAACCAGUCCUUACUCCUUUCCUAGAUGAAAACUGAGGCAAUGCCAUAAAAACAAGUGAAGUACUGAUACAUGCUACAACUUGGAUGAACCUUGAAAACAUUAGGCUAAGUAAAAGAAACCUGACACGAAAGGCCACAUGUCCUAUGAUUUCAUUUAUAUGAAAUGUCCAGAAUUGGCAAAGCCAUAGGGGCAGAAAGCAGAUUAGCGGUUGCCAGGGGCGGGAGGCAGAGGAAUUGGGACUGAUUACUAAUAGGUAUGGGGUUUCUUUUUUGGGUGAUGGUCAUGUUCUAGAAUUAGAUAGUGGUGAUGGUUGUACAAUAUAGUGAAUAUACUAAAAACCACUGAAUUGCAUACUUUAAAAUAGUGAAUUUUAUGCUAUGUGAAUUAUAUCUCAAUAAAUUAAAUAAAAAGAGGCUUGAGAUAAAAAAAAAAAAAAGGAAAGAAACCGAGGUGAGUGAGGGGUUUAGGUUAAGAAUUUAGUAGAGUCCAGUUUCAAAUGGCAAUCUCUGUUCUCAAGGGAGCAGCCACGGAGAGGUCUGGGAGCCCUCUUUCUUAUUCCUGGCAGGCCGGAAGGACCUCACUGGAUGGUGUGUAUGUACGUCGGAGAGGAAGAGGGCGAAUGAAGGAGAAAGAUCAAACAUUGCUCUGUGUUUUGUGACUGACUGGCUUCUCUAACGACCAGAGAUGUUUUACAAAUUAUGAAUGGCUAUUAAAAAAUUAAUAUGUACAAUGAUACUAUUUACAAUAGCAUCAAAAACAUCAAAUACCUAGGAAUAAAUCUAAUGGAAGAAGUACGAGACCUAUGUAGAAAACUACAAACAUUGAGAGAAACUAAAUUAAAAAAGGACAUACCUUGUUCACUGAAAAGAUGUCAAAUUUCCCCAAAUUGAUCUAUAAGUUCAAUUUUUUUUUUUUUAGAAAUGAACAGGGUGAUUCUAAAAUUUAUAUGAAAAUGCAAAGGGCCAAAAAUAACCUAGAAAUUCAGACAGAGGAAGAACAAAGCUGAAGGCUUUACAUGACUAGAUAUCAAGAUGUAUCAUAAAGCUAUGAUAAUUAAGACAGCAUGGCAUUGGUUCAAGAAUAGACUAAUAGACCAGUGGAACAGAAUAAAGUUCAGCAUUGAAUCCACACAUAGCGGUGACACUGAAGAGCUGGUGGGAAAGCUGCAUUUGUUAAUAAAUGGCACUGGGUCUAUGUGAUAUACUUACGGGGAAAAAAAAAGAAUCUUGACCCCUAUCUCAUACUAUAUGGUAGGGAAAAUUUUGUGCUUCAGUGGAAAACUGCAUUUUCUGUAGCAUAGCCUCUGGGUUGUCUGAUUUUGAUUUUGUGGCAGCUGUUUUACAACUCUGUAACUUGUAGACAGCUGAUAGCAAUGCAAAAUUCAUGAAAAUAAAUUCACUCUGUCCCCCACCGUGGAAAACCGGUUUUGCCUCUAUUUGCAUACUCAUUUCAAUAUUCGUGAUCUAUAAACGUGUCUGUUCUUUGGAUUCACCUUUGAACAAGUCGAAACACCUUGCUAGAUUGCGUUCUUAAUAAGUUAAAUAAAAUUUUAAUGUGUUCAUUUUUAUAUCUUUAUGAGUCACAAUUUUAUCUUUUUUUUGAAAAUUGUCAUCUAACAAUACACAAAAAUUAAUUCCAGAUGGAAUGCUAAUCUAAAUGUGAAAGUAAAGCAAUAGAGCUUCUAGAAGAUUAUAAAAGAGAACAUAUUCAUGACUUUGGGGCAGCAAAGUUUUCUUAAAAAGGGCACAAAAGCACUAACCACAAAAGAAAAGAUUGAUAACUCAGAUUUCACUAAAACUAAGAAUUUCUUUUUACUCCAAAACACCACUAAGAGAAUGAAAAGGAAAGCCACAGAGUGGGAG
ensembl:lncRNA